UGUACCGAGAAGCUUGUGUCCAGGCUGUAUUUGAGAAUGCACGUGGCUACAAGGGGGGAGAGGCACUGUCACAUAGGUGUUCAGCAAGCACAGGCAGCUGAAAGCUGAAGAACGGACAUUAUCAUAAGAUGGGGUCAAAAUGGUCCUUGAAGAAAAAUAAGGAGAGACGGUUUUGUAGGCUGGAGGGUACUGCUGGAGGAGAACCAUUUAAAAUUUUCCACAGUAUCACAAGGACAGGAAGUUUAAAGCUUUUCCUGAUGAGAGUGAGGUGGAAGAAGCAGUGGCUUGGAAACAUCUGUUUUCACAGAGGGCAGAGGAAAAAAAAAAGCAUUGUGUAUGAAGAAUUGUCUUGAGAAGGAAGGGAUGGAGGAGAAGAGGUAAUAAAAAAAUGAGCAAAUUUCUAGUAUUUCA
rnacentral:lncRNA from 1 species